CCGGAUCUUGAUGCCCGCCUGGGGAGGGGACAGGGGCAAUUGUCUCAGGCAUCCUCCAGGCAUCAUGAAGGAGGGUGAGCGAGGGUGCGAGGUGGAAAGGUCCAGGCCGCGGCUGUGACUCCCGCGGGUGAACCACAGCUCCACAGCCCCAAAUCCAAAGAUGCUCUUGCUGCAGCACGACAAGUGUUCAAAAGAGAACCAGGCCCAGCCCGGAGAAAGGAAAGCCAAAAGCCAACUGAAUGAAUGACCCUCCCCCAGAAGAGCAACCCUGCCCCCAGGCCAUCCAAGUGCGAACAUUACCAGGUGCCAGCAGGGAAAGGACUCCGCUGCCUGACGCCUCUCCCACCUGAGAGCGCAGAGGUAGGGAGAUCACAGUGCCUGAGAGGUUUUCCUCCACGGAGAAAUCAGAGACCUCAACCUGCUGCCCUCUAAAGCAGCUUUCUGUAUCCAGACAAAACUUACAUAUGUACACGUUGUUUUAAAACGACAUACUCAUGUGACACACAUGUAUAUAAAUUCAUGUUUAUAUAUGACAAUUGAGGAGAGUUAAAGAACAAGAUAAUUCUGGAUGGAAAAAUCAGUUUGCCUGGGCAUCUGUAAACCUUUGGGCAAGUGAAUUCCCUCUUCUCUCUCAGUUCACCCUUUGGUGACCUCCACCGUGGCUGCAGACUUCAGGUGGUCCUCACGCAUUCACAGAACUGUCUGCUUAGGUUACAGCACUUUGGGAGGCCGAGGUGGGUAGAUCACGAGGUCAGGAGAUCGAGACCAUAUUGACCAACAUGGUAAAACCCCAUCUCUACUAAAAUACAAAAAUUAGCCGGGCGUGGUGGCGGGUGCCUGUAGUCCCAGCUACUUGGGAGGCUGAGGCAGGGGAAUCACUUGAACCUGGGAGGCGGAGGUUGCAGUGAACUGAGAUUGCGCCACUGCACUCCAGCCUGGGUGACAGAGACUUCCUCU
rnacentral:lncRNA from 10 species